rnacentral:rRNA from 1 species
AGUGAACGCUGGCGGCAGGCCUAACACAUGCAAGUCGAACGGCAACAGGGAACAGGUUUCUGAUUCGCUGAGGAGUGGGGGACGGGUGAGUAAUGUAUGGGGAACUGUCUGAUUGAGGGGGGUAACUACUGGAAACGGUAGCGAAUACCGCAUAACGGCGCAACACGAAAAAGGGGGAGCUUUGCGGCUCUUGCCAGCGUGAGUGCGCAGAUGGGAUUAGCUAGUGGGUGGGGUAAAGGCCCACCUAGGCGACGAUCCCUAGCUGGUCUGAGAGGAUGACCAGCCACACUGGAACUGAGACACGGUCCAGACUCCUACGGGAGGCAGCAGUGGGGAAUAUUGGACAAUGGGCGCAAGCCUGAUGCAGCCAUGCCGCGUGUAUGAAGAAGGCCUUCGGGUUGUAAAGCCCUUUCGGCGGGGAGGAAGGGCGUCAAGUUAAUACCUCUCCUCAUUGACGUUACCCGAAGAAUAAGCACCGGCUAACUUCGUG